rnacentral:rRNA from 1 species
UACGUAGGUGGCAAGCGUUGUUCGGAUUCAUUGGGCGUAAAGGGUGCGUAGGCGGCGGGGAAAGUCUGAUGUGAAAUCCUGGGGCUCAACCCUGGAACUGCAUUGGAUACUUCCUUGCUAGAGUACUGGAGAGGAAACUGGAAUUUACGGUGUAGCAGUGAAAUGCGUAGAGAUCGUAAGGAAGACCAGUGGCGAAGGCGAGUUUCUGGACAGUUACUGACGCUGAGGCACGAAGGCCAGGGGAGCAAACGGG